AAGUCGUAACAAGGUCUCCGUAGGUGAACCUGCGGAGGGAUCAUCUAUAAAAAAAAUAUGAUGAUGAUGAUGAUGAUGAUGUUUAUUCAUCAUCAUCAUUAUUAUUCAUAUAUUAUCCAUUAUAGGAUGUUUUGGUGUUGUUAUUAUAUAAUAUUCUUAUAAUGUUGCAGGAUGGAAUUGUGUGUAUGUGUGUAUGUGUGUGUGUGUCGGUGUUUGUUGUGUGUGUUGUAUGUGUGUUUGUGUUUUAAGGAGUAUUGUUACUCUUUUUAACCUUCCCCACAUACACUCUACUCUUAUUACUACCCAUCACUACACCAAUAAAAAACCAACCAGGAUCAUAAAUUCCAAACAAAGUUUAUAACUUUUGGCAACGGAUCUCUUGGUUCUC
rnacentral:misc_RNA from 1 species